UACGAAGGGGGCUAGCGUUGUUCGGAUUUAUUGGGCGUAAAGAGCUCGUAGGCGGCUCGUCGCGUCGACCGUGAAAACCCGCGGCUUAACUGCGGGCUUGCGGUUGAUACGGGCGGGCUAGAGUUCGGUAGGGGAGACUGGAAUUCCUGGUGUAGCGGUGAAAUGCGCAGAUAUCAGGAGGAACACCAAUGGCGAAGGCAGCUCGCUGGGACGGUACUGACGCUGAGGCGCGAAAGCGUGGGGAGCAAACAGG
rnacentral:rRNA from 1 species